GCCAGGCAUGGUGGUGCACACCUGUAAUCUCAGCAACUCAGGAGACUGAGGCAGGAGGAUCACAAGUUUGAGGUCAGUCUCAGCAACUUAGUGAGACCCUGUCUCAA
rnacentral:sRNA from 1 species